GAACGCUAGCGACAGGCUAACACAUGCAAGUCGAGGGCGAGCAUAAAAGUAGCAAUACUUGGUGGCGACCGGCGCGACGGGUGAGUAACGCGGUAUCGCAAACCUACCUAUCAGAGGGGAAUAACCCGGCGAAAGUCGGACUAAUACCGCAUAAAACAGGGACACCGCAUGGUGAUAUUUGUUAAAGAAAUUCGCUGAUAGAUGGGCAUGCGUUCCAUUAGGUAGUUGGUGAGGUAACGGCUCACCAAGCCGACGAUGGAUAGGGAACUGAGAGGUUGGUCCCCCACACUGGUACUGAGACACGGACCAGACUCCUACGGGAGGCAGCAGUGAGGAAUAUUGGUCAAUGGGCGAGAGCCUGAACCAGCCAAGUCGCGUGAAGGAAGAAGGAUCUAUGGUCCGUAAACUUCUUUUGCAGGGGAAUAAAGUGCAGGACGUGUCCUGUUUUGUAUGUACCCUGAGAAUAAGGAUCGGCUAACUCCGUGCCAGCCGCCGC
rnacentral:rRNA from 1 species